rnacentral:lncRNA from 1 species
UUUUUUUUUUUUUUUUUCCCAGCUGGGAUGCAAAUGCUUUCCCGACUUUCUGUUUAUGUAAAAAACACUGUGAAGAUCUAGGAAGGUUCUGUGGUCUCAUCAAAUCCCACAUUUCUUGAGCACUUUCCUUUUUUCUAAAUUCUCUCAGGAUUCUUAGUGGGGAUACAAUACACUAAUGAUAAUUUUUUAGCCGAAAAUAUUAUAUUGGAUUGAUAUCUACUAUUUCAUAGUCAAUAGUAUCAAUUUAGCUGAAUUUCGGUGCCAGAAUAGAUGGAAUCAGCUCAUUUUCAUGAGCAUUUUUAGAGAUCCAGGAUAAAGGCUGCAUUUGAAUUUCAGAUAUUCAGAGAGAAGUGAUCUUUCAAAUAUUCAGUGUUGCUCAGAAGGAAAAGUGUGAAUAGCUGCUCUGGAUUUUCCUUCAAAGUGAACACUGAUGAAUUGCUUGAACUUUGUGGCUUUGUUGACUCUUCUUGUCCCCCUCUGUCCAUCUCUUUUUGGGAACAGUGUGUUUGUGUCCAUGUGUGCUCAUGUUGUCCCCACUCCUCAGUCACAGUCAGUGUCUCAGCUCUCUCUUUCAGUCCCUUUCUUCCUCAGAGUUCUGGAUAUUCAUAGUUUAGCAGUAUUUUAACCCACAUCUCACACCUUACCUCAUACUUGCAGUUUGUUUUUGUAUUUUCCUAAUAAGCAGCAUCUUCCUCUGACCCAACUUCACUGCAGUGGCCUUGGCAGAGUCAUUUGGGGAAGGUUUUAGACUUGGUCUUUGCUGGGGAGCAGCUACUUUCAGUGGGGAAACACAGAAUUAAGCAAAGGGGGACAGUUAGAGCUGAAGAGAAGAAAUGGGGGCUAAGAAGGUAAUAUUUCACUUUUUUUUGCCUCACCCCAAAAUAAGCAUUUUUAAAGCCUCAGCACUCAUUCUCACAAAGAGUUGUAUAACCCAGCAACUCUGCCCAAUUUUAUGGAGGCAUUUUCAACUUCCUGUCUCAUCCAUUUAAUUUAUGUUUGAGAGGUGAAGGUGUUCUUAUUAAAAGGCCCCCUGUCAGUAUUACAGACUGUUGUGAAUUACUAAUUUUCUUUUUAAAACAUCAAUAACAGAUUGAUCUGGGUCAGCACACCCAAUACAAAUAAUCCACUGAAUUUUAGGAGGAUUGAAAUUUAGCUCUGAAUCAGGCAACAGGCUCUGCCCUGACCUCCUGCAGGCUCUGGUCAGUGCUGGAGAAAUUAAUUUUAACUGCAAAAAUGCAAAUUGAGACACAUUCAUUGAGCUGUUGUAAUCACAGCAAGGCCAUGCCUGGUUUAAAACAGGCUCAUUUCUAAUCCCUGGAUAAAAAAGAUUGUGGUCGACUUUUAUUUUAAUAAAAAUCAGAAAGAAGAAAGUGCAAACAGAGCUUAAAUUCUGCAGAUGCCCCGGCUGAGCAGCCAUUUGACACUGGUAAGAGCAUCAUGUCUUAAUUAGCGCUCUACAAAGAAAACAGGGAAAGUGAAAGAUAAUUAGUACCAGUCUUGUUAAUCUGAAGUAAACAAAGCAGUUGUUUGGUGUUCAUGGCACUGUGUCAUUAAAGCUGAGUUAAAUGGAAAAGUGCUGAGCCAGGGCAGUCUCCGUUUGCAGGGGCAGGCAGAGAGGGGAUGAGCACCCAGAGCUGCCCAGCUGGAGCUGCUGAGACAGGAGCUGCUGCCAGCCCUGCCCGGGAAUCCUGAUCCCCUGGCCACGGGGUUCAGGUGGGGAGGGCAGCGGUGGGGCUGUGCAGAGUCACUCCAGGAGAGUCCUCUCCAUGUGUGUGGGAGGUGCUGCAGGAAUUUCCCCAGCUCUGAAAGGCACCAGGACCCAGCCCCAGGUCCCUGCCUCCCCCCUGCUCCUGCCGUCCUUAGGCUGGAGAAGUGCCAGCAUUGCCCAGCAGUGCCACCGUCACCUCCAGACCUGUCCCGAAGUGCCACGUCCCACACUUUGCCUUCCACCAGAGCACAGGUGUGGGGCUGGGGCAGAGCUGGGCCUGCCUCCUCUGCACUUCAUGAUUUUCAGGAAAAGCACAGCAGCAAAACACAGCUCUGAGACAAUAAUGCUGCUUUUUUGCACAGGGUGAAGAGUAAGAACAGCUUCUGCUUUAGCAGCAGGAGAAAUGAGAGAAAAUUCAGUAUAUAAGAAAACUCAAUAUAUGACAAACCCUGUGCUGUUUGGCAGGAUGGGGAUGGGCCUUGUGGUGAAAGGUCAAACAUGCAAAACGUUGGAGUAUUUUUUGAGCUGGGACACAGGGUGGGAAUUCCUGGAUCCUCUGAAUUUCCCAGGUGUUUAGCACCAAAGAACUUGGAGGAUUGGGUGUGUUGUAUCGUGCUAUUCAUAGCCCAGCUGAGCUUUGUGUGAAGUGAGCUAAUUUUCAGUGGAAGCAUAUUUUAACCAGCUGCUUUUUGUUUUUGUUUUGCCUUUUUCCUUUUUAUUUUUCCCUUCCCAGUCUCCCCUGCCCAUGGAGUCCGUCCAGCGUCCUGGAGCUACUUCCCCCCUUGUAUGUCUUCAUUUAUUCCUUUGUCCUUCUUUCAUUCUUGCCUUGUUUGUCUCCUUUUUCUUUCCUUCUUCUUCUGUACAUGCAGGUCAGUAGCACUGAUGCCCUGAAGGAUAUUUAGGGGAAACCAAAGCAAACUUUUGUCCUAAGGUGCUCUUUUAAAAGAUAUUUGGACAUAAAAUAAUACAGCAGGGAAAGAACAAAGCUGGUUAUAGCUCUUUUCUGGGGGUGAUAGAAUAAUCUUGAAUCCAUAAAAAGAUUGAAAACAUUAAAAAGAAAGAAAUUAAGUGCCAGAUGACCAAUGUCAGCGUGAAAGAAAGAGAGGCUAAAAAUGGCUGAUGGGGAGGAAUUAAACACAGUUCUUGAAGUUUGUUAGAACAUGACAACCUUCAGAAGCCAAAAUUCCCUUUUUUUUUAAGAGGGAAUGGUGUUUGUGCUUAACAUCUGACAAUGCCCAAAGUGGACUAAUAUGUGGCUUGUUUAUUCAGAGUCCUGCUUCAUGUUGCCAUAGUCUUUUUUAGAUCCUGCUAGUGCUGGUCUAAACCUCACAGCAAUAAACUGGUGUCAGAAAAACCUGGGAUUGGUCAUGUAGAUUUAUCAUUUUUACAGCAAGUGCCUCACUUGCACAGAUCAGCUCCCCCUGGGAUGUUGUUUGGAUUCCCUAAAUCAGUCUGAAAAUUUGAUAUGCAAAUACUGUAAAGAGAUAAUUAUAAAAUACAUAAUAUUCAUGUAAAUGUACACAGCUAUAUCCUUUACCCACACGCCCACUGCAGCCUGCUGGCAUAGACUGUGCUGCUGUCCCUGGAGAGUGGGGAACAGGCAGAGCUCCCUCUCCCAGGGCUCCCCCAGGACAGGAAAACCUGGUCCUGUUGGGCAGGUUUGGUUUCCUGGGCACCUUCCUGAGCACGUGCCAACACGAUCAGAGCCUCCGGGCAGAAGGAAUGCCCAGGGUGGGAGAGCAGGGUUUGUAUUUGGGAUGUAUCAUUGAGAGUGGGUGAGGCUUCUUCCACUGCCCAUGUCCAAACCCACAGGAGCCAGGGAAUACUGAAACUGGGAUGGAGGAUUUAAGAAUGAGGGCAGAAUUACUGCUGUGACUGGCCAUGUCCACUGAUAAAUAAUCUGACAGAAAAUUUGGGAGGAAUCAGAAUAGUGAAUCUUAUAAGAUCCAGGGAGUUCCCUCUGGACACACAGAUAUGGAAAAAAGAUUUUUCUUAAUAUUUUUCCAUCUGUAUAGUCAAGUUCCUCGGAUCCCUGAGCCCUUCAGAUAUGCAGUUCCUGUCAAAGAUCAGAUAACACAGGAGGCUUUAGCCUGUCUAUUUUUUCAGGCAGGCUUCUUUAUUAGGUUUUUAACACAAAAACAAGGAAUGGCCACAUUUCUGGUUAUUUAAUGCCAGUGGUCAGUGUUGAGUUCCCCUCCUCUCUCAGCUGUGAGAAGUAAGAUUCUGACAACAGAGCAGCUCCAAUAUUUCUGCUCAAAGCUAUGAGGCUUAUUAGUGGUUCUACUUGUUUUUCUUGUGACAUUAAUUCCUUGUGACAGCCCUGUCCCUCUGUGAGUCACAGAAUUGCCACAGAGAUGACAAACUUGUCUGUGGCUGCUCUGAGAGCACCACUGGAGAGCUGAGGAGCCACAUCCUCCCCUGGCUGAGCACUCCUGGGCUCUGGGGCUGUUUUAGAUUAUUCCUGUGUCCCACAGAUCAUGGCUUCCGCUGCCAGGAAUUCAGAAAUAUUUGUGGGUUUUAAGUAUAGGGGAUUUGAGGUCCUGUUCAGGUUUUGCUGGUGCAAGGGGGAAGUUCCUUUCUGGGCUCAUUUAGGCACUGAAGUUCUUUUUUGGGCUCAGAUAAACAAGCUGAGCUCUGGACAGGGAGGCAGGGGCUGGGGGAGGAUUUUGUAACUGGGACAAAGUGCCCCUGACCACAAGCCCAAAAUCUUUGUCUCCCAGCCACAGCAAAGGCUGUUCCUGUGCAAGCUGUGCUGUAUUAAAAAUCACUGAUUACUCCUCCUGCAUUUGCCAACCUAAUCUGACAUUUAUUUUGUAUCAUUUUUAAUAUUCUUUUUACAGGGAAAACUCUGCUUAGGGUGGUCUCUGCACAGCAUCCCAGAAUCCCAGACUGGUGUAGGUUGGAUGGGAGCCUAAAGAUCAUCUGGUUCCACCUGCUGCCGUGGGCAGGCAGGGACUGGAACUGGGAACUGGCCUGCACACACUGUGCUCACUCCUGAGCCAGCUCCAAGCCCAGUUAUGCAGGCCCCAGCACCACCCACUUCAUCCCCAGCUCAGUUUUCCAGGGAUUUGGGUUAGUUCAGCUCAGUGGAUCAGCUCCCUCAUGCUUCUGCUUGCACACAGACAUUGAUGGGCAGGAACAAUUCAGGCCUAGAACAGCCCAGAGGAGCUCAGCUCUGCAUGCCCAGCGCUGAACUCUGCAUUUCUCCAGCUCUGUCUCUCUAAUUGCUGUCUCUCCACACUGAAUUGUUGGUCUCCUGCAGUCCCUCUAGGAGAUUUUUAACUUUGUCCUCUCUCUUGCCUUCUGUCUGUCCCUGUGCCCCCUCCCCUGGUUAUCAGAUUUGGAGAUGGAUAGUGUAAAACCAGGCUCUGCAUUUGUUACUGAGGCUCUGAACCAGUCCCACCUGAGCUCAGGUAGAACCUGUUCUGUGCCAUCACUCUCUGUCCUAACCACGUCUAACCUUGUAUGUGGUAGCAAGAACCCCUCACUAACCCCUAGGCUUGCUGGCAGAACCUAGCUGUAGUGUAAUAAGUAGUGAAAUAGAGAAUUAUUCAUCUCUUUUUAUAUUAAAACCUGUUGGAACUGGCACUAGGUGAAAUUAAGGUGUUCCAGUGGAUCUGAGGAGCUGAGAUGUGUCCCUGGUACAUUUUAUGAAAUUAAACAUUUGAUCCUCAGUUAUUGAAAGGUAUUUGACAGCAGACAUUCCCAUUUAUUUGCUUGUUGUGUUAAGUCAUACCUGAACUUCUAUUUCCCCGGAUCUCAUAAGUGCUCAGAAAUAGACUGCAGGUGGGAUUUUAGGAGAGGCAGAGCAGCAAUGUGUGGGAGCUUUAUUUCUAGGCAGGGCUGUGCACCAAGGCAAAUAGCAGAGUCUUGCACAGGCUUCAGACAACGUUGUCCCCCGUGUCCCUCUGCUUCACCCAGUCCCUUGGUAUGGGGGUUGAACUGUACCUUCCUAGAGGUCAUCCCAAGGUGAACAGGUUAUUUAUUAUUGGAUUUUGAUAUCAAAGCAAUGCUAAUAAAUACACCCAGUCAGAGCACAUUUGAGUCCUGCUAUCCACAAAAGCAUGGAAUCAUGGAUUCCCCUGAGCUGGACCCACGAGGAUCAUCCUGUUCCACUCCUGGGUCUGCACCAACCAUCCCACCUUGUGUCUGAGAGUGUUGUCCAAAUGCUCCUGGAGCCCUGGCAGCCUCGUGGCUGUGACCAUUCCAGGCAGAGGAAGAACCUUUCCUGAUACCCAACAGCACUGGCAGAACAUUUCAGUUUAUGAAGGAGCCAGUGCUGGAGCAAUUCGGUGACUGAAGUGCUUGGGAAGUGCCAGACCUCUCUUCUAAUUGUAUUUGAACUGGUUGCAAAUCUUCUUGUGGUUUAGGUGUAAAGCUCAGCUUCUGCUGCAGUCAUUGUCUGGAUGCCCCUUGCUCCUUCUCCAGUCAUCAGAGGAGGAUUUAUUUUUAAACUAGGCUUUAGGGCUUUAUUUCACUCCCAUCAGAAGUGCUGAAAACUUGCUUUAAAAAAAUAUUAUUUUGCUGGUAGUGUGGAUCUUGGAUGCAUUAAGAAUGUCAACCUUCACCUUCAAUAAUUGUGUUGUUUUGCUAGAUUUCAGUGCAGUGAGCUCUGGAAAGUGCUUAUUUACUCUGAAUUGCCCCAGUAAUUAAUUACCUGGUUUCAGGAGAAGGGGAUUUAUUGCAGGGACUGCCCAGGACUAUAAGACUGUUUAGUUCUUUAAGGUCUUUAACUUUCAGGUCUGUACUGCAGAUCAGAACUGCAGCAGCAUUUUCCUGAGUUUUUAAUUUAAUUUCAUUUCUCCUUCUCUUUGCUAUCCCUCCCUUGUUUUAAGUGAUUCGUCUUUUGUUCCUUCCCAUUUUUUGGCAGAAAGAGAUGAGAGCUGUGGGCUGAUCUGUGGAAAUGCUGCUAAAUACAGGAUUCAUCUGGUCCUCUAUGAAAUUUGUACCACAAAAUCUGUGAUUCUGCUGGAAAAGUAGGAGUUGAAGAGUACAGCUUCCUGAGCCUGUGUGCUGGGAACAGACAUGGCAAAAAUUCGGUGUUCCCUGGGCAGGCAGGAAUGGGAUGUAGGAGCAUCCCAAAAGCAGCAGCAGCAGCAGCUCUGUCCUGCCUGGGAUGAGGAGUUGCUCACAGCCCUCUCUGGGGGAGUGGAUUUGGAGCAAGUCCCACUGUGCUUCAGCCAGCCAGGCAGCACCAUGUGUGCUGUUCUGCUGUUCCAGCAGUCGUUCGGGAGAAGGAACCAGCAGGGCUCUGGAUCUGGGGCUGCUGCUGCUGCUGCACUGGCCCUUUCCCCACAGGGCACAGGAUGCUUUUGGCAUUCCAUGGAAACACAGCAUUCCCAGUUGUGGGCUGAAGCUGUGAAUGAUCUUCUAAAUGUCCCAUUUCCCUUUUGCAAGGGGGCAGGGCUUGGGUGUUCCUCUACACCUGCACAGAAAUCCACCUGAGGGUUCUCCAAAGCAUACCAUGGUAAGAUUUGCAGGCACACAGGAUGGCAGGGAAUUGCAGUUUUGGGAGUUAUUCACUAAACUGGGACAUGUAGUGGAUUUAUAAGGAGCAGGUUUUAGAGUUAAAAAGUGUCAAAUAUUCUUUCUACACUCUCUGCCUAUGGGGGCAUGUUCUAUUUGUAAUUUGCUUUUGCAGUUUGCCUUCACUGGCAAAUCUGAAACACUUUUCCUAAACAAAAUCUCUAAACCUUGGCUAAUUUCUAAGUGAGAGAUGAGCAGGAAUUGUAUUUCACAAAGUUCCUAAGGAUGCAGAGCAUUAGGGAGUUAAUAUAUUUCUCCUUUCUCUGUAAUCCUUUAAUCCUUUAAAACUGCAGAUGUUUCUAACAAUGGCAGUGAGAGCCAGGAGUGCAUUUUGGCAGUGCUUUAGGAGCACCCCUGGCUGUUCCUUGCCCCCACACUGAGGAGUUUUAGGUGCUGUUUAUGCAGUAUUUGCAGUGAGAACAAAUCCAUGUUUCUGUGACAUUUCCUGGGUGCUAUGGAAACUGUCUGUGUGGUUCUCAGGAAGUUCAGAGUGAGUUGGUUGACAUUUUCUUCAAGAGGCUUGGGUUUGAAAGCCUGGAGUGGAAGAGCAGAAUUUGGGGAUGAGUGUUAUGCGUGGAGGGCACAGGGGAAGCUGGGGAAGGGGCAGAGCAACUGCAGCAGGGCAGGAGAUCCAUCCUUUGGAGAGAAGCUGGACUGAAAUAAAAGGCACCCAGUGGCUCAGGGACCCAGGAGCAGGAGGAAGGUAUCCUUUGCUCCUGCUUUUUCACUCAUAGCUUCUUUUCUUUUUUAGCUGAACUCAGAGAGUUUUCUAAUCUAUGAAAGUCCUUCUGGAGCCCUCCCAGCCCUGAGAGAGUGGAUCCUGUGUCCCCUCAGAAAGUGCCAUGAGUGCAAAGCCAGUGGUCCCAGGACAGCUGGUGGACACCAGUGUUGUCCUGUGGCACCACCAGGUGCAGGCUGAGCCUGGGUAUGCUCCAGGGACCUUCUGCCUUCUCUGAACAAUCCCAGUGAGGCACAGGUGGAGGUGUCAGUGAAUAAGCCUCUGUGUCCAGCCCUCAAGUUUGCAUUCAGGUUUUUCCCUGGCAUAGCUUAGUCUCCUGGAAGUAUGGAAAAGAUCCUACACAGAGCUGGCACAAAAAAACCCAUCUCUGCCCACCCCAGUCCCCUGCCAGGCUCCAGGCUCCUGGCCUAGGAGCCCUUUAGCAGCUUCAGGGAGCAAGGGCAGCAGCAGAGCUCUGCCAGUUGAGGAGCAUCCUCUGCUCCAUGCCAACAUAUCCUACAUCCCCACUGGGAGGCACUGCUGGUGUAAUUACAGGGCUGAAAAUCAGCCUCCAGGCACAGGGAAAUGCCUGGAAUACAGGUAGAGAGAAGAGACAGAUUAAUUCCUGUGUUCCCUAUCGGGCAGUUUCUCCUUGAGUGUGGUCACUGAGGCUUUGGGAAGAAGCUGAGCCCAUACACCGCGGCUUCAGGCAUCUCACACUUUAGCAGAUAAUUUUGUGGUGAGCCUUGACCAUGUUUCCUGGGGAAUUUUAAUUGGAAAGAAAAGGAACAAACAGGGUGUGUGGAUCUGUGCAGAGUCUGUACACAUCAGUUCAUGAAUAAUGACAUAGAACUGUGUUCUGUGCAGGUAAGAAAGAGCUGUGUUGAUGUUGAAAACAUUCCUGGUGUUUGAGAGGCUGGAUCCCCCAGAACAGGCUGAGUAGUGUGAAGCAGAGCAGUGAAACUUGGCUGAGUGCAGGGAGUUGGAGGCCCCAGUGUGCUUUAAUAAGGACACUUUCCUUUUCACUAGUUCUUUGCUGCUUUCUCACUCUGCCUGCUCUCCACUUACUCAGGUUGGGGGUGAUGUUAUUUUUAAACAAGAUGGUUUUUUCCUUUCUCCAAAGCUGUGUCAAAAUGGCCCUUAACUAUAGACAUAGUUGGCUUAGCAAAACUCUGCAGUUGUGCUAAAAACUCUGAAAUAAUGGCAAGAGGGAGUUUGUUCUGCUCUGCUUUUCCUCUUCUUUUCUGAAUAAUUCUGUAAAUAAGUGUGGGAGCCAGACUGUGGCUGGGAAAUGCUUCAGGCAGUUUUAACUAUAAAUGAUGGCACAAAGCUCUGAUCUCUUCCUAGCCUAUGGAUUUAUCAAGGGUCAUGCCAGUGCUUAGCUCAAUUCUCCCAUUAAAACUGGUCUUGGGAAGUUCACAAAGGUUCAACAGCUGCACCACCACCCCUCUGUGCACAAAGACUUCAGAAAUUGAAUAGUUGGAAUAUUUUUCUUGCGAGCCAUGGCAGACCAUAGCUUCAUCCACCAAAAGCUCAGUCACCACAUGGUACCAUUGGGCCCAGAGAAGCUGUGGCUGUCUAGAAGUGUCCAAGGCCAGGUUGGACAGGGCUUGGAGCACCCUGGGAUAGUGGAAGGUGUCCCUGCCCAUGGCAGGGGUGGGACUGAAUGAGCUUUAGGGUCCCUUCCGACCCAUUCUGGGAUUUGAUGAUUCCAUACUCUGUGACAUGAGAUACCUGGAUGUCAAACCUGGUUGCUGUUGGCUUUGAAUCAAAUCCAAUAAUUUUAAGGCAUUCCAUGCCAUUAUGUGCUGCUGUAUUGGUUUUUUUGAAUGCCCCACUCUGUUUCCAUCUAUAAUUUCUCAGCAACACCCCUUAUUUUAAAGGGCUUUUUGUUUAUUUGUGUUGUGUGUAUGUGUGUUGGGAGCAGCUGACUGCAGGAUAAAUCCAGCUGAGGAUGAAGCAGCAUUGGAAAAUCCUGCCUGUCCAACUCCUAAUGAUGGCUUGAAGCUCCUUCGGUGGUUACAUUUGCAAAAUCAGAAAGCAGAAGAAGCUACAGGCUGCACUAAUAACAUUCUCUGGGUUGCUUUGCCUUCCCAAUUCUUCUGAAAUAACUUUUGGAGGAUAGGGUGAAUUUCAGGAUUGAACUUGUGACAAGCACGCGGAUAGACCCUUUUUUCUGUGGUUUCAAGUAUGUGGCCUUCUUGGAUGGGUUUAAAAGAUACUCAUUAUCUGCUUCCUCUGCUCCAUGGCAAGCUGACAAACUCCUCAGGAGUGGGGAGUUCAUCUCUUUGACUUGCUAAAUUAAAAAAAAAAAAAAAAA